AGAGUUUGAUCAUGGCUCAGGAUGAACGCUGGCGGCGUGCCUAACACAUGCAAGUCGAACGGAGUUAUGGAAGGAAGUUUUCGGAUGGAAUCCCAUAACUUAGUGGCGGACGGGUGAGUAACGCGUGGGAAACCUGCCCUGUACCGGGGGAUAACACUUAGAAAUAGGUGCUAAUACCGCAUAAGCGCACAGCUUCGCAUGAAGCGGUGUGAAAAACUCCGG
rnacentral:rRNA from 1 species